rnacentral:rRNA from 1 species
GCCAGACUCCUACGGGAGGCAGCAGUGGGGAAUAUUGCGCAAUGGGGGCAACCCUGACGCAGCAACGCCGCGUGAUUGAAGAAGGCCUUCGGGUUGUAAAGAUCUUUAAUCAGGGACGAAAAAUGACGGUACCUGAAGAAUAAGCUCCGGCUAACUACGUGCCAGCAGCCGCGGUAAUACGUAGGUGGCAAGCGUUGUCCGGAAUCAUUGGGCGUAAAGAGUUCGUAGGUGGCACGUUAAGUCUGGUGUUAAAUGCAGAGGCUCAACCUCUGUUCGGCACUGGAUACUGGCGAGCUUGAAUGCGGUAGAGGUAAAGGGAAUUCCUGGUGUAGCGGUGAAAUGCGUAGAUAUCAGGAGGAACAUCGGUGGCGUAAGCGCUUUACUGGGCCGUAAUUGACACUGAGGAACGAAAGCCAGGGUAGCAAAUGGGAUUAGAUACCCUAGUA